rnacentral:misc_RNA from 1 species
UUGCGAUGAUUGUGCCUUAGCAAAACACAGAAUUGACAGCUAUUGAACUUGAAGAAGUAAGCCUUAUAAUUAAUUGACCUGUCAUUAUAAAGCUUUAAUAUCUAUGGUUGCUGAAUAUAUAUGUUUACUAAGUAAAACUUUAUGAACAGAUUGCAUAUUACACAACUUGUCACAAGUACCAAUAUCUGAACCAUUGAUGAUUGAGAAUGUCUUUGACACUGUUGUAUAACAUUGUGCACACUGUUUUUCAACAGAUCAAUAGAGAUUAUGUAAUUAAAGUAAACCAGUUGCUGUAAACGAUUGUUUAAUAAUUU